CAGAGCUUCAAUGUGUCCAUCCCCUAGACGGUGUGCAUCGCACCCAUUAGGUGUGAAUAUACCCAUCCCCUCCUCUGAGUUUUGCAUCCAGAUUGAGCUUCCCUCCCUCGCCCACAAGAAGGGUUUUUACCUUCAGCAGACUCCAGUGGCUCAGAAACCAGGGAUGCAGGGCCAGGCUCGUGGGAUGCUGCAGCAGAUGUGGGGAUUUUUUCUUCUUUAUGUUUCCCUGAAGAUGGGAGGCACUGCAGGACAAAGCAUUGAGCAGCCCCAUGAGUUGACAGCUGUGGAAGGAGCCUUUAUCCAGGUCAACUGCACCUAUCAGACAUCUGGGUUCAAUGGGCUGUUCUGGUACCAGCAACAUGACAGUGGAGCACCCAUAUUUCUCUCUUACAGUGUUCUGGAUGGUUUGGAGGGGAGAGGUCGUUUUUCUUCCUUCCUUAAUCGCUCUGCUGGGUACAGUUACCUCCUUGUGAAGGAGCUCCAGAUGAAAGACUCUGCCUCUUACCUCUGUGCCGUGAGAGACACGGUGACUAUGAAGCCUCUUCUGCUGCACUGAAAUUCAAAAGCCAACUAGUGGGGUACUGGUGGGCUUGAGAAGUUCUAGUAUUUCCUGAG